rfam:TPA: Bos taurus chromosome 12, whole genome shotgun sequence.
CUUUUAGUAUAAGUAUGUCCCAUGCAAUAUUUGGCACAUACUUUAUACUAAAA